GGAGGCGUGGUGUAGUGGCCAAACAUGCAUCCCUGUCAAGGAUGAGACCGCGGGUUCGAAUCCCGUCGCUUCCG
rnacentral:tRNA from 1 species